CUUCGAGUGAAUCAACAAAUGGAUAAAUAAAAAGCCGAACGACAAUGCUGAUUUUUUUAGAGAGUCUUAGCUUACAUUUCAUAUUUUCAGUUCUUACCCUCCACGGCUAAACAAACUCUCUAAAUCAGUUUCAAUUGUGUACUGAUGUACACAAUAAUGGACACAAGGAGCUUCUUUCAAAGAAAAAACUCAGCACAAAGAGGGAGAGAGAGGAACAGAGAGGGAGAUGAAGAAAGAGGACAAAACAGAGAUGGAACAAGAGCAGGAAAGAGAAGGCGCAUUUCCACCGAGAGGAGCAGAGUUUGCAACUACAUGUUCAUCAUGACGACUGCAACCUGGACAGAAAUAUUAUAUCAUCUGUUUUUUAUUCAACUGUAUUCUAAGCACCAGCGAUCUGUUAGAAUUUUUAGAGUUUACUUAACUAAAAAUAAAUAAGGUUAACAUAUAA